rnacentral:ncRNA from 2 species
UCAAAUGCGAUGAAGAGAAGAGUAAGUGAGGAAAUUCUUCAAAGAGAGCCCGGUGUGCUGAAAAAGGGCAAGAACUAGUCACUGAACCAAAUCUCUGAGCAGCGCAUCGGAACCGUUUUUCGGAGGUGAUGCGACAGGAGCUCCUGUUAUCGGGCAAGAGUAUAAGCAGUGAGAACUGCCGUACUUAAUGAGCUUAAUAUGGCGACAUAUUAAAGGAACUGGAGUGGCACCGCGAUUUUCGAAUCCCGCCUCCAAG